rnacentral:rRNA from 1 species
AUUGAACGCUGGCGGCAGGCCUAACAUAUGCAAGUCGAGCGAGCGGCGGACGGGUGAGUCAUGUCUGGGAAACUGCCUGAUGUAGGGGUAUAAAUACUGUAAACGGUAGCUAAUACCGCAUACAAUCAGAUGUGCCCAGCUGGGAUUAGCUAGUAGGUGUGGUAAUGGCUCACCUAGGCGACGAGCCAUAGCUGGUCUGAGAGGAUGACCAGCCACACUGGAACUGAGCUCCGGUCCAGACGCCUACGGGAGGCAGCAGGGGGGAAUAUUGCACAAUGUGCGCAAGCCUGAUGCAGCCAUGCCGCGUGUGUGAAGAAGGCCUUCGGGUUGUAAAGCACUUUCAGCGAGGAGGCGUUACUCGCAGAAGAAGCACCGGCUAACUCCGUGCCAGCAGCCGCGGUAAUAC